rnacentral:rRNA from 1 species
GAAUUUUCCGCAAUGGGCGCAAGCCUGACGGAGCAACGCCGCGUGAGGGAGGAAUGUCUGUGGAUUGUAAACCUUUUUUUUCUGGGAAGAAGAUCUGACGGUACCAGAGGAAUCAGCAUCGGCUAACUCCGUGCCAGCAGCCGCGGUAAGACGGAGGAUGCAAGCGUUAUCCGGAAUUAUUGGGCGUAAAGCGUCCGUAGGCGGUUUUUUAAGUCAGUUGUUAAAGACUGCAGCUCAACUGUGGGAGAGCAAUUGAAACUGAGAGACUAGAGUAUGGUAGGGGUAGAGGGAAUUCCUAGUGUAGCGGUGAAAUGCGU